UACGAAGGGGGCUAGCGUUGCUCGGAAUCACUGGGCGUAAAGCGCACGUAGGCGGCUUUUUAAGUCAGGGGUGAAAUCCUGGAGCUCAACUCCAGAACUGCCUUUGAUACUGAGAAGCUUGAGUCCGGGAGAGGUGAGUGGAACUGCGAGUGUAGAGGUGAAAUUCGUAGAUAUUCGCAAGAACACCAGUGGCGAAGGCGGCUCACUGGCCCGGUACUGACGCUGAGGUGCGAAAGCGUCGGGGAG
rnacentral:rRNA from 1 species